CCUACGGGAGGCAGCAGUAGGGAAUAUUGGGCAAUGGGCGAAAGCCUGACCCAGCAAUGCCGCGUGAGUGAUGAAGGCCUUAGGGUUGUAAAGCUCUUUUACCAGGGAUGAUAAUGACAGUACCUGGAGAAUAAGCUCCGGCUAACUCCGUGCCAGCAGCCGCGGUAAU
rnacentral:rRNA from 1 species